rnacentral:rRNA from 1 species
ACGAACGCUGGCGGCGUGCCUAAUACAUGCAAGUCGAGCGGACUUUGCCUUCGGGUAAAGUUAGCGGCGGACGGGUGAGUAACACGUGGGUAACCUGCCCAUAAGACUGGGAUAACAUUCGGAAACGAAUGCUAAUACCGGAUACGCAAAUUGGUCGCAUGAUCAGAUUGGGAAAGGCGGAGCAAUCUGCCACUUAUGGAUGGACCCGCGGCGCAUUAGCUAGUUGGUGGGGUAACGGCUCACCAAGGCGACGAUGCGUAGCCGACCUGAGAGGGUGAUCGGCCACACUGGGACUGAGACACGGCCCAGACUCCUACGGGAGGCAGCAGUAGGGAAUCUUCCGCAAUGGACGAAAGUCUGACGGAGCAACGCCGCGUGAGUGAUGAAGGUUUUCGGAUCGUAAAGCUCUGUUGCCAGGGAAGAACGCUUGCGAGAGUAACUGCUCGCAAGGUGACGGUACCUGAGAAGAAAGCCCCGGCUAACUACGUGCCAGCAGCC